UACGGAGGAUGCGAGCGUUAUCCGGAUUUAUUGGGUUUAAAGGGUGCGUAGGCGGCUUUUUAAGUCAGCGGUGAAAUUUUGCAGCUUAACUGUAACAGUGCCGUUGAUACUGGGGAGCUAGGAUUUGGUUGCUGUGGGUGGAAUGUGUGGUGUAGCGGUGAAAUGCUUAGAUAUCACGAGGAACUCCGAUUGCGCAGGCAGCUUACUAAACUACUACUGACGCUCAGGCACGAAGGCGUGGGGAUCAAACAGGAUUAGAUACCCGGGUAGU
rnacentral:rRNA from 1 species